rnacentral:rRNA from 1 species
AUGCCUCUCCUCGGCCCUCUCAAGCUCGACGCAAUGGUGAAGGAGAAGACCGUGGCUCUGGAGCGCGCGAAGAAGGCGUCGGCGAUGGCGAAGGGGAAGAAGACGGCACGGGGUUCGUCGUCACACUCCGCUCUCCCGCCUGGCUGGAUCCAGGGGGAUUGGACUCGCUCGACGGUCUCGCAACAGGACUUGGAGAACCUCGCUCAUGACGGCCUGAUUAAACCUAGGUUGUGGAGAUUGCCUGGGGAGGAGUUCGAGCCACAGUCACGCGAUGGUGAGUGUGUUCUCCUCACCACCCACGUCGAGCGCGGUUUUUCUUUGCCUCCAGACCCAUUCUUUUGA